CACGUAGGGUGCGAGCGUUGUCCGGAUUUAUUGGGCGUAAAGAGCUCGUAGGCGGCUCAGUAAGUCAGGUGUGAAAACUCCAGGCUCAACCUGGAGACGCCACUUGAUACUGCUGUGGCUAGAGUCCGGUAGGGGAGCAUGGAAUUCCUGGUGUAGCGGUGAAAUGCGCAGAUAUCAGGAGGAACACCAGUGGCGAAGGCGGUGCUCUGGGCCGGAACUGACGCUGAGGAGCGAAAGCGUGGGGAGCGAACAGG
rnacentral:rRNA from 1 species